GAAAUGCGAUAAGUAGUGUGAAUUGCAGAAUUUAGCGAAUCAUCGAAUCUUUGAACGCACAUUGCGCCCCUUGGUAUUCCAUGGGGCAUGCCUGUUCGAGCGUCAUUUCAACCCUCAAGCACUGCUUGGUGUUGGGCGUUUGUCCCGCCUACGCGCGUGGACUCGCCUCAAAGUCAUUGGCAGCUGUUCCCCUUCGGCUCGUAAGCGCAGCACAGUCGGCGCCCGGAGCUCUGGUGGGAUGGCGUCCAGCAAGCUAUAUUUUCAGGCUUGACCUCGGAUCAGGUAGGGAUACCCGCUGAACUUAAG
rnacentral:misc_RNA from 1 species